rnacentral:rRNA from 1 species
UGGGGAAUAUUGCACAAUGGGCGCAAGCCUGAUGCAGCCAUGCCGCGUGUAUGAAGAAGGCCUUCGGGUUGUAAAGCACUUUCAGCGGGGAGGAAGGCGGUGAGGUUAAUAACCUCAUCGAUUGACGUUACCCGCAGAAGAAGCACCGGCUAACUCCGUGCCAGCAGCCGCGGUAAUACGGAGGGUGCAAGCGUUAAUCGGAAUUACUGGGCGUAAAGCGCACGCAGGCGGUCUGUCAAGUCGGAUGUGAAAUCCCCGGGCUCAACCUGGGAACUGCAUUCGAAACUGGCAGGCUAGAGUCUUGUAGAGGGGGGUAGAAUUCCAGGUGUAGCGGUGAAAUGCGUAGAGAUCUGGAGGAAUACCGGUGGCGAACGCGGCCCCCUGGACAAAGACUGACGCUCAGGUGCGAAAGCGUGGGGAGCAAACAGG